ensembl:lncRNA
GUGAGAGUGAUCUUUUAAAAUCGUGAACCAGAACAUAAGUUCCAGGAAAGCAGAAACCUUGUCUCUCUUGUUCACUGGUGUAUCCUCUGCAUAUAGAACAGUGCUUGGCAUAUAAUAGGUUCUGAGAAUGGAUAAUCAUCUGACUUCCCUGAGAAAAUAGAAGCUCUUUUUCUCAGAGGACUCCUCAUCUCUCCCCAGCAGAUGUACUGAGCUGCUUUUGACUGUGUCCUUACAUUGAGCUUUCCGUGUAUUGGAAGAGGUGAACACGCUGUUGAAAGUGAAAGUGAAGUUGCUCAGUCGUGUCCGACUCUUUGCGACCCCAUGGACUGUAGCCUGCCAGGCUCCUCUGUCCAUGGGAUUUUCCAGGCAAUAGUCCUGGAGUGGAUUGCCAUUUCCUUCUCCAGGGGAUCUUCCCAACCCAGGGUCUCCCACACUGUAGACAGAUGCUUUUACUGUCUGAGCCACCAGGGAAUUCACUGUUCGGGAACCCUAAUCCUCUCCCUUGUGCUCUGGGUCCAGAUCCCUGCAGCCUUCCCUAAAACAGUGCCUGGCACCAAUAGGUGCACAUAAAUGUUUUCCAAAUGAAUGAAUGAGUGAAUCCAUGAGAGAGUGAGUGAACGAGUUUUAACAGGAAAAAAAAAUCACAUUUGCU